UUGAAUUGAAUGAUGAACGUUUGAAUGAAGUAAGAUUACUGAGUAAAAGAUAAAAUCGUUUGAAAACAUCUCAGUAAAGAAUUUAAAUAAAAUCCGUUUGAAACUAAAUAGGAGUUUGUUAAAGAUAAGAUUCUUUGAGAUAAAAUCUCCUAUUUGUUAGGAAAACGUUUUUGAACAAAACUCUUUAUAAAACUGAGCUCUAAUAUUUAUAUCAGAUAUAUAUAAAUAUUAGAAUCCUUACAAAGUCGUUUCCUAUUAAAUCUCCUUGAAAAUAGACUUUGAUCUUUAUCCGAUUGAUUCUCUGUUCACGCUGUAAGCCUGCUGAUAGCUUGUAAAUAUCCCUGUAAGCUUGCUGACAGCUAUAAUCAUGCUAACAUCCUGAAAUACUGUUAGUCCGCAUAAAC
rnacentral:lncRNA from 1 species